ensembl:lncRNA
AAAUAAUCAGUUUCAUGGCAUAGGAUAGGAAGAUGAGAGGAGAAUCCCAAUGCGUCCUGUACCUUUAAGGAGCCUUGGGGACGAGUGGAAAGCCCUCUUCCUUCCUUCCCUCCCACCCUCCCUUGCCCUGGCUCCAGGAGCCAAUCAGAAGCCUCUGGGAAGCAAGGCAGCAUGGCCAGGAGGGAGACGGAAGGAAGGAAGAAACGACAGCAGCCACGGAAGGUUCUUCAAGCCUCGGCUGGGGGACAGGCAAGUAAGAUGAACCAUUUUUCAUGGAUACCUGAAAAGUCACUUUGGGUGCAGAAUAGCCCAGGAUUUGAGGCACAAACACACAGUGGAUUGACCUUCCCAUCAGCCUGGAUGCCCUGGUGCCUUAUCCAGAAAAAGCCAACCGGGGAUACUAUGAAGUCCUGAACAGGUAAAAGAAAGAGAGAAAAAACCCACUUUCAUAGGAAGUGUUUAAGUGGUCUUUAAGGUGAGAAACCUCCAAGGAUAUAGCUCAUUCUCUAUAAAGCGUCAAUUUACCAGAGCUGUCAUUUGAUAGUCAGCAAAGUAUUUUUCCUUUUAUCCAAUUGUGAUCACCUUAUCUUUUUAAAAGGGUUAGAUUUCAUGAGGGUAUAACUACACUUGAAAUGUUCAGCUGGUGAGCAACUCAAGAUUCAUGGUAAUUAUUAAGAAACAUAUAUAAAAUUGCAAUCUCGCUUUUAAAAAAUCACAUCAACAGUAUCUCAUUUCUAAUUGUUAGUAGGUAUGGUGAGGAAGUUAGAAAGAAUGUUCGUGGAACAACAUGCCAACAGAGCGUACUGACAUGAAAAUGGGCCUCUGUAUUUCUGGAGAGAGAAAAACAAACCAAAAUAAGAGGGGGAAACAGCAAUAAAAUGUUGACAACCCCCUUAAGUUUGGUCAAGGUAAUGACUGUGUUCUUUUUAGAGGUUAAUUAUCAUGUGAACUGCUUUCAAAUCCAAAUUUCUGGUGGAAUAUAAUUACAGCUACUUAAAGGAACCUGGCAGAGCUAUUCAUCUGUUAGUUCUAAAUACCACACACCUCCUGGAAUUCUUUGAAAAUGGUUCUUUUUAUUGUCGCACCAAACAGAAGGCAACCAAGGUUUUAAAAUCAAUUAUCAUUUUAUGCACAUUCGUUGCCUUUGAGAAAUUUGGAAAUAUCAAGGUGGAAUUUAUUUGAUGACACCCUCUCCUUUCAUUAGAACACAUUCAUUGCAAAACUUUCAGGAAUAGGAACCAGCUGUCCUUUUCUCAUUUCUCACAUUAGAAUAAAGGUAUUGAAAUGUCACUGAAUGUUCCAGUAGGCAUUGUUCCUAGUCAAUACAUAGCAUGGCAAGUACUGGAAUGUCAGAAUAAUAGAACAGUGUAUGAGGCCGGGAGGUAGUUGUAGACUACAUGUUUGUAAACAACAUGUCCCAAAUUCUAUUCCUGACAUCAUCAGGAAAUGCAUUCUCUCUAAAGCCCUAGAGAACCACUGCGAGAUACAAAUUGUUACCAGAUGUUUAUUAUAGGGGGUAUCUCUUAUUUGAGGGUUGGGAAGGUUGUCCAUUAUAGUACUGGCAGGUGUCCAUUAUUAUAAGAAAUGCCUCCACUUUGAAAGUUGGAAAGCUUUUCCUUGUAUACAGGUUGACCAAGAUGCAAAAAGAUCUCAUAUUGGGGUGAGCCCUUCAUAAAAACAAAAAUGUGCAGUACAAUAGAAUCUCACUUAUCCAACGUAAACGGCCAGCAGAAUGUUGGAUAAGCAAAUAUGUUGGAUAAUAAGGAGAGAUUAAGGAAAAAUCUAUUAAACAUAAAAUUAGGUUAUGAUUUUACAAAUUAAACACCAAAACAUCAUGUUAUACAACAAAUUUGAGAGAAAAAGUAGUUCAAUACACAGUAAUGCUAUGUAGUAAUUACUGUAUUUAUGAAUUUAGCACCAAAAUAUCACGAUAUAUUGAAAACAUUGACUACAAAAAUGCGUUGGAUAAUCCAGAACAUUGGAUAAGUGAGUGUUGGAUAAGUGAGACUUGACUAUAUUUAAUUUCUGAAUAUGGGAAACGUGCUUAUGUUAAUUAAUUAAUUACAUUUUGUCUUGCUUUCUUCCCAUUUGCGACUCAAGUUGACUUAUGUAGUACAUUAAAACAAAAUAGUUAAAACCUGAUCUGUUAAUUAACUGAGAAUGUUGUUAUUGAUCUCAUGCUUUCCCUCAAGUUCUCCUCUAGAAUUCACAUCUUUGUGCUAAAACCUUAUCUCUGGCCUGAUGUUUGAGCUAUUAUCUCCAAACCUCAAAGGACUUUGUUUAAAACCCUCUUGAUCGCACUUGCCAUAAUGCUGCCAAAGACAUUCUUCCUGGCCUUCAUGAGGUUCAGCUCAUCUCUAGAUAGUCCUCUGUCUACAACCAUGGUCCCAGACCCCAAACUUUUCCGCUGUUCAGCAGUGGAACUCUCUGCCUCAGAGUGUGGUGGAAGCUCCUUUCUUUGAAGCUUUUAAACAGAGGCAAUCUGUCAGGGGUGCUUUGAUGGUGCUUUUUCUGCAUGUCAGGGGGUUGGACUGGAUGGCCCAUGCGAUGUCUUCCAGCUCU